rnacentral:rRNA from 1 species
UACGAAGGUGGCUAGCGUUGUUCGGAUUUAUUGGGCGUAAAGGGUCCGCAGGCGGUUUGAUAAGUCAGGUGUGAAAUCCCACAGCUUAACUGUGGACACGCAUUUGAUACUGUUAGACUAGAGUAUGAGAGGGGUAAGAGGAAUUUCCAGUGUAGGGGUGAAAUCCGUAGAGAUGUGGAGGAAUACCAAUGGCGAAGGCAGCCCCCUGGGAUAAUAUUGACGCUCAUGCACGAAAGCGUGGGGAGCAAACAGG